AAAUGUAACCAGGUGAAAAAUGGGUACAUGUCAAAUGUAUUUUGUAAACCAUGUUUUGCUUUUAUUUCACCGACUGGUUGUAAUUCUUGUUUUUGUCAGCAUGUGGUGCUGUUGUUACAGAGAGGUCUAAAAUGACCAGAAGUAGAAGAAAGCUCUUGUUUAUGUACUGUGGCACUAACUGGUAAAAUGGAAGAGAAGGACAUUUUUUGAUCCGAGACCUGGUGGAGAAGAGACUCUGUGGCUACAUGAGAGAAGAAUCCAAGUGUUCGAGCUGCCCCUGCCGUUUGUUAUGCUGUUAGAUUUCAGCUUUUAUGUGAAGCUGCGUCCAUCUCUGAGUGCUAACCGCGUUGUUAGCCCCCAUUUCACUGAAGCCAAGGCUUUCUACCGUUCGAAAUACAGGCCUUUUAUUUCUCCAUAUAUUGAAUCUCAUUCUUUUUAUUUAGUUUCAACUCAGAGGGAACAGUGUCUUUUUGAGAAUAAAGAACCCCUUCUAUGUGAA